UUUCCGUAGGUGAACCUGCGGAAGGAUCAUUAUUGUAUAACCGAGGUGCGAGGGUUGUCGCUGACCCGACAGGUCGUGCACGCACGAGUGCCCUCACACGCAUCCAUCUCACCCCUAUGUGCACCACCGCGUGGGUCCCCCUUUGGCUUGUUCGGCGGGGGGCUUACGUUUUCACACAAACUUUGUAUGCAGUGUAGAAUGUAUUUUUUGUUUUUGCGAUCACGCAAUCAAUACAACUUUCAACAACGGAUCUCUUGGCUCUC
rnacentral:misc_RNA from 1 species